GAUGAACGCUGGCGGCGUGCCUAACACAUGCAAGUCGAGCGAAAAGAUAAGGAGCUCGCUCCUUUGACGUUAGCGGCGGACGGGUGAGUAACACGUGGGUAACCUACCUAUUAGACUGGAAUAACUACGGGAAAACGGGGAUACUGAUGGAUAACAUGUUGAACGGCUUGGUUCUACAGAGAUUGGCGGCUUUGCUGUCACUAUUAGAUGGAGCCGGGUCGUAUUAGCUAGUUGGUGAGGUAACGGCUCACCAAGGCAACGAUACGUAGCCGACCUGAGAGGGUGAUCAGCCACACUGGAACUGAGACACGGUCCAGACUCCUACGGGAGGCAGCAGUAGGGAAUCUUGCGCAAUGGGCGAAAGCCUGACGCAGCAACGCCGCGUGGGUGAUGAAGGUCUUCGGGUCGUAAAACUCUUUUAUUAGGAAAGAACAGAUGCGUAAGAAACUCUGCGCGUCUUGACGGUACCUAAACAGAAAGCCACGGCUAACUACGUG
rnacentral:rRNA from 1 species